rnacentral:tRNA from 1 species
GGAUUGUAGCUCAGUGGUAGAGUUCUUACCUAGCAUGUGUGAGGCACUGGGUCUGAUCCUCAGCACCACAUAAAAAUAAAUAUAUAAACAAACAAAGAAAAUAAAGGUAUUAUGUCUAUCUACAACCAAAAAUAUUUUUAAAAUCUUAAAACUGAAAAAAAUAUGUAUUAAAAUGCUGAGGCUGGGCUGGGGUUGUGGCUCAGUGGUAGAGCGCUUGUUCUGGGUUCAAUUCUCAGCACCA